rnacentral:lncRNA from 1 species
GUAAAGCAGUGUGGUGUGGACGUAGAGAAGCGAGCAGGAGCAGCCAUUGGGACUGCGUUAACAUGCAUUCUAAUCGCUUUCUCGUUAAGCCGCGGAAGGGAGGGGUGACUAAUGAGUCUCGCCGAAAAAAAAAGCGCCUGUGGUUGACGGGGAUGGAGUCGCGUACCAUAAAAUUUACCUGAGAAUGGCUGCACCCGAUGACUUCUCGCUCAUGAGGAGGCCUGCUAAAUAAGGUGGUGAUCACUUCCGAAGGGAAUUCAUAAUGAGAAAACAUCAGUCCUAAAGCAGAUCUGAUGCCUUGAGGAUAAUCAUGGGUCACUUUGAGGAUUCUGGUGCCUGGUAUUUUCGUAGACCCCAAUGGUGCACCAAUGGAUCAUGGUGAAAUGUUCCAAAAAAUGGGAUGUUAAUCACUGGACAUGUGUCAGUUCCUCAGUUUUGGAGUAUAGGCACUUUCAACUUUCCACUGACUGAAUGUUUUUGCCACUUCUUCUGGAUACUCAACAGAAGAGCUACUGGUCCUACAGUGGAGAACAAUGGAGGAGGCGAGGGCUGUUUAAAAAAUCAGGCCUGUCUUGCCACUCCACCAUGGGGGAUAAGGCUCAAGAGCCCAAGGGGAAGUGUAUCGAUCCUGACCAAAGUGUAUUUUGGCAGCACUGUGGUUCGUGCUCAUGGCUGAUUGAGGAUCAGGCCUAGCCUGCAGGCCAUAAUGAAGAGAACUGAUGUAGGAUGUUAAACCACUGAUCACCUAUCAGUCCCAUAAUCUAGAGAA